rnacentral:rRNA from 1 species
GGGUUGUGAGGUUAAGCGACUAAGCGUACACGGUGGAUGCCCUGGCAGUCAGAGGCGAUGAAGGACGUGCUAAUCUGCGAUAAGCGUCGGUGAGGUGAUAUGAACCGUUAUAACCGGCGAUUUCCGAAUGGGGAAACCCAGUGUGUUUCGACACACUAUCAUUAACUGAAUCCAUAAGUUAAUGAGGCGAACCGGGGGAACUGAAACAUCUAAGUACCCCGAGGAAAAGAAAUCAACCGAGAUUCCCCCAGUAGCGGCGAGCGAACGGGGAGGAGCCCAGAGCCUGAAUCAGUGUGUGUGUUAGUGGAAGCGUCUGGAAAGGCGCGCGAUACAGGGUGACAGCCCCGUACACAAAAAUGCACAUGCUGUGAGCUCGAUGAGUAGGGCGGGACACGUGGUAUCCUGUCUGAAUAUGGGGGGACCAUCCUCCAAGGCUAAAUACUCCUGACUGACCGAUAGUGAACCAGUACCGUGAGGGAAAGGCGAAAAGAACCCCGGCGAGGGGAGUGAAAAAGAACCUGAAACCGUGUACGUACAAGCAGUGGGAGCCUCUUAAUGGGGUGACUGCGUACCUUUUGUAUAAUGGGUCAGCGACUUAUAUUCUGUAGCAAGGUUAACCGAAUAGGGGAGCCGAAGGGAAACCGAGUCUUAACUGGGCGUUAAGUUGCAGGGUAUAGACCCGAAACCCGGUGAUCUAGCCAUGGGCAGGUUGAAGGUUGGGUAACACUAACUGGAGGACCGAACCGACUAAUGUUGAAAAAUUAGCGGAUGACUUGUGGCUGGGGGUGAAAGGCCAAUCAAACCGGGAGAUAGCUGGUUCUCCCCGAAAGCUAUUUAGGUAGCGCCUCGUGAAUUCAUCUCCGGGGGUAGAGCACUGUUUCGGCAAGGGGGUCAUCCCGACUUACCAACCCGAUGCAAACUGCGAAUACCGGAGAAUGUUAUCACGGGAGACACACGGCGGGUGCUAACGUCCGUCGUGAAGAGGGAAACAACCCAGACCGCCAGCUAAGGUCCCAAAGUCAUGGUUAAGUGGGAAACGAUGUGGGAAGGCCCAGACAGCCAGGAUGUUGGCUUAGAAGCAGCCAUCAUUUAAAGAAAGCGUAAUAGCUCACUGGUCGAGUCGGCCUGCGCGGAAGAUGUAACGGGGCUAAACCAUGCACCGAAGCUGCGGCAGCGACACUAUGUGUUGUUGGGUAGGGGAGCGUUCUGUAAGCCUGUGAAGGUGGCCUGUGAGGGUUGCUGGAGGUAUCAGAAGUGCGAAUGCUGACAUAAGUAACGAUAAAGCGGGUGAAAAGCCCGCUCGCCGGAAGACCAAGGGUUCCUGUCCAACGUUAAUCGGGGCAGGGUGAGUCGACCCCUAAGGCGAGGCCGAAAGGCGUAGUCGAUGGGAAACAGGUUAAUAUUCCUGUACUUGGUGUUACUGCGAAGGGGGGACGGAGAAGGCUAUGUUGGCCGGGCGACGGUUGUCCCGGUUUAAGCGUGUAGGCUGGUUUUCCAGGCAAAUCCGGAAAACCAAGGCUGAGGCGUGAUGACGAGGCACUACGGUGCUGAAGCGACAAAUGCCCUGCUUCCAGGAAAAGCCUCUAAGCAUCAGGUAACAUCAAAUCGUACCCCAAACCGACACAGGUGGUCAGGUAGAGAAUACCAAGGCGCUUGAGAGAACUCGGGUGAAGGAACUAGGCAAAAUGGUGCCGUAACUUCGGGAGAAGGCACGCUGAUAUGUAGGUGAAGCGACUUGCUCGUGGAGCUGAAAUCAGUCGAAGAUACCAGCUGGCUGCAACUGUUUAUUAAAAACACAGCACUGUGCAAACACGAAAGUGGACGUAUACGGUGUGACGCCUGCCCGGUGCCGGAAGGUUAAUUGAUGGGGUUAGCGGCAACGCGAAGCUCUUGAUCGAAGCCCCGGUAAACGGCGGCCGUAACUAUAACGGUCCUAAGGUAGCGAAAUUCCUUGUCGGGUAAGUUCCGACCUGCACGAAUGGCGUAAUGAUGGCCAGGCUGUCUCCACCCGAGACUCAGUGAAAUUGAACUCGCUGUGAAGAUGCAGUGUACCCGCGGCAAGACGGAAAGACCCCGUGAACCUUUACUAUAGCUUGACACUGAACAUUGAGCCUUGAUGUGUAGGAUAGGUGGGAGGCUUUGAAGUGUGGACGCCAGUCUGCAUGGAGCCGACCUUGAAAUACCACCCUUUAAUGUUUGAUGUUCUAACGUGGGCCCCUUACCGGGGUUGCGGACAGUGUCUGGUGGGUAGUUUGACUGGGGCGGUCUCCUCCUAAAGAGUAACGGAGGAGCACGAAGGUUGGCUAAUCCUGGUCGGACAUCAGGAGGUUAGUGCAAUGGCAUAAGCCAGCUUGACUGCGAGCGUGACGGCGCGAGCAGGUGCGAAAGCAGGUCAUAGUGAUCCGGUGGUUCUGAAUGGAAGGGCCAUCGCUCAACGGAUAAAAGGUACUCCGGGGAUAACAGGCUGAUACCGCCCAAGAGUUCAUAUCGACGGCGGUGUUUGGCACCUCGAUGUCGGCUCAUCACAUCCUGGGGCUGAAGUAGGUCCCAAGGGUAUGGCUGUUCGCCAUUUAAAGUGGUACGCGAGCUGGGUUUAGAACGUCGUGAGACAGUUCGGUCCCUAUCUGCCGUGGGCGCUGGAGAACUGAGGGGGGCUGCUCCUAGUACGAGAGGACCGGAGUGGACGCAUCACUGGUGUUCGGGUUGUCAUGCCAAUGGCACUGCCCGGUAGCUAAAUGCGGAAGAGAUAAGUGCUGAAAGCAUCUAAGCACGAAACUUGCCCCGAGAUGAGUUCUCCCUGACUCCUUGAGGGUCCUGAAGGAACGUUGAAGACGACGACGUUGAUAGGCCGGGUGUGUAAGCGCAGCGAUGCGUUGAGCUAACCGGUACUAAUGAACCGUGAGGCUUAACCUUACAACGCCGAAG